rnacentral:rRNA from 1 species
UUGGAGGGCAAGUCUGGUGCCAGCAGCCGCGGUAAUUCCAGCUCCAAUAGCGUAUAUUAAAGUUGUUGCAGUUAAAAAGCUCGUAGUUGAAUUUCGGGAUCAAUUUAUUGGUCGUGCCAACGGUACGCACUGGUACAAUUGGUUUCUCCCUUCUGACGAAGCAUGAUGUCAUUAAUUUGAUGUCGUGGGGAAUCAGGACUGUUACUUUGAGAAAAUUAGAGUGUUUAAAGCAGGCUUUGGCUUGAAUACAUUAGCAUGGAAUAAUGAAAUAGGACGUUUGAUCUUAUUUCGUUGGUUUCUAAGAUCGACGUAAUGAUUAAUAGGGAUAGUUGGGGGCAUUAGUAUUCAAUUGUCAGAGGUGAAAUUCUUGGAUUUAUUGAAGACUAACUACUGCGAAAGCAUUUGCCAAGGAUGUUUUCAUUAAUCAAGAACGAAAGUUAGGGGAUCGAAGACGAUCAGAUACCGUCGUAGUCUUAACCAUAAACUAUGCCGACUAGGGAUCGGAUGAUGUUAAUUUUUUAACGACUCAUUCGGCGCCUUACGGGAAAC